rnacentral:lncRNA from 1 species
GCAACGUCCCUCGCAGAUCACAAGACGUGCCCUCAAAAUAGGCCACCCUGAAAGGGAAAGGAACCCAUCACCAUAUUGUGCAAAGUUAAGUGUACAAAAUGGACUGUUAAAGAAUAUAUUUUAAAACCUGAGAGAAAAUAAAUGUCUGAACCCAAAUCAGAGAAUAUAAAUGAGUGACAACUCAAUGAGGAGAGGAAAUUCCCAGCAAAGAGAUUGUGACAGCAUGAGAAAAAAAAGAUGAGGUUCUGGAGGCUGGGAGUUGAAGAUAAGGAUACCAGCUGGGUACGAUCCAUGCCCAGUUUUCCAUGCAGACUGCUGACUUUCUUAUAUAUCCUCGCACUGUGAAAAGAAGGUUAAAUACCUGGGAGUGAGAUUGCUGUGUCAUAUGACGACUGUAGUUCAUUCAGGAGACAACAACGCCGCAGGUGAUCUGGAGGCUCCUGGAGGACCUCAGCGACUCAGGUCCAGUCCAAGGAGGGCCGCAGAUCAGGCUGAAGAAGGAUGGAUCCACAUGCUUAGAGGAGAUCGAGAAAUGCAGAAGAGAGAUGCAGCAGAGAAAUGCCACAGAAAGGGGAGCUGGAGAGAAUCAAAGCAUGAGAGGAAUUCAACCUGCUGUCACUGGAAGGGGUCCAGAUGGAACGCUUGAGAAGAAACGUGUGUAGCAUCUAGGAGUAAAGACUCGCCCUGGCUGACAGCUAGUAAGGAAAUGGGAACCUCAGUGCUGCAGCCUCAAAGAAUUGACUUUAACCCACAGCCUGUGUGCACUUAGAAGCGGAUGCAUUCACAAAUCUUCCAGAAGGGAAUGGAGCCCCAUUGACACCUUGAUUUUAACCUUCUGAGAUUCUAAGCAGGGAAUCUAGAUGAGACACGCUGUGAGAUAAUACAUAGGUAUUGUUUUAAGCUGCUAAAUUUGUGGUAAUUUCUUAUGACAGCAAUUUAAAAAACUGAUACAAAGCCAGUAACCCAAAUCCUGUAGUCUUCCAUCCUUCACAAUUUCCUACUGGCACCUCCACUCUGCAGUUCCAAUCCAUUUUACCUCCAAAGCAUGGACUGACCCCAUCUUCUCAUCUCCCCAGAAUUCUACUUCAUCUAUCAUCUGGACCAUCCCAAACUGUACCCCUGUUUUGUUUUGACUUUUGACUCUCAAUCUGUUCUCCAAACCGUAGCCGAUUAUUUACUUUAAAAAGUAUGUAAUCAUGACAUUUCUUUGCACACAGUCUUUCAGUGUUUCCACAUAAGCAAAGGAUUCCAGUUCAGCCCCACUUUAACGCAAAGACAUCCAUGACAGAUCCUAUCUCCCCCUCCAGCCUUUUAUAGCACUCUCUCUGCCUUCCUCUUUAUGUGCCUAUAUGGAGAAUUGUAACUUCCCUUCAGUACCACUCCUAGACCCAGGCGUGCAGGGUAUCUGUGCUGAGCUUAGAUCUUCAGAGGCCUCAGCUCUGGUGCUGCCUGGUCUUCCCACAGGUGAGGAAUCUAGGUAGCUGAGCAGAAAUCACCUGUAGCCCAAGUUUCCUUCUUGUGGACCAUGCCUCAGAUGUUUGGUAUCCCGACUUCCCUGGACAAAGGACCCAAAACCCUUUCCAAAGCUGGCAUGGGUUAAUUUUCUGAAUUUAUGCUCUGAAGGAUAGCACAUGCCUCUGGGCAAGUGUGAGGUAGGCUGGCCAAGAGGCAAAUGUUAGCAGUGUUGCCAAAAAGGAGGAGGUGGGCUGUGGAACCAGGGGUAAGAAAACAGGAAGAUGGAUGUCAGUCUGUUUAGGGGGUCCUAUCACAAAAUACCACAGACCGGGUGACUUAAAUCACAGAAAUUUAUUUCUAACAGUUCUGAACGCUGCUAAGACAAAGAUCAAGGUGCCAGCAGAUCCGGUGUCUGGUGAGAACUUUCUUCCUGGUUUCCUCACAUGGUGUUGUGGGUCGGGGAGGUGGGCAGAAAACUAAAACAAGGGUGUUAAUCCCAUCAUGAGGGUUCCACCCUCAUGACCCACUUACCUCCCAGAGACCCCAUCCCAGAUAUCAUUAUACUGAGGAUUAGAGUUUCUGCAUGUGAAUUUUGGAGGGACUCAAACUUUCAGCCCAUAGCAGUAGACCAUCGGUUAAGGGCUGUCUUUCCUUACCAUCAUAUUUCUAGCCUGGAAUUCCAAUAAAUUCUAAAAUUCCAAAUUAGAACCCAGCCUUCCAAGAUGUUAUGAAGAUAUAUUUGUCAAGGUAGGAGCAUAAACCUUGUUUUACAUAGCAGGUGGUUAGCUUGAUUUAUAGUGUCUAACUAUUUAGAUGUAAGAUAUGCUACCUCCAUUUGCACUUUUACCCCAGUCUCCACAAACGGUGGGGGUAUGUUUCCCCCACAUACCAUGUCUUCAUGUUGUUUCUUCCUGUGUUCCAUGUUCUUCUCAAUGCCUGGAAAGGUCUGCCCACCAUUCUUCACCUGGCUAACUCUCACACAUGGCUCAGGACUCAGGUUAGUGGUGGCCUCCCCCAGAAAGCCUUCAAUGAUUCUCCAGUGCCCCCUCCACUCAACAUGCACGUAUGUGAAAUUAUUAAAACACUCCCACACUGUAAGACAAAGAAUAGAGACUACAUUUUAUCCAUUUUGUUUCACUACCAUGGUGUCUGGUGCAUGGUGUGGGUUUAAUUAAAGUUUAUUGAACUGAAUACUGAAAGCAAAUGGUAAAUGCUUCAUUCAGAAUAUAUUCAACAAGCAUUUAAGGAAUAAUAGUACAAAGUGAAGAAGAAAAUUACUGGGGGUGGGAGAGGACAGAUGUGGCAGAUCCCUUGUUCCAGGUCACACAAUAGUAAUAAUCAUUGCCAUUUCUUGAACACUAACCAUUUGCCAGAAACAGCACGAAGUAUUUCACAUGGGUUACAUUUAAUCCUUCCAACCCCAAGAGGUAGAAACUAUUAUAUCUUCAUUUUACAAAUGAGAAAACUGAGGCUUACAUAGGUUAAGUGAUUUGCCUAAAGACUCAAAGACAGAAAGGGCUCCAAAGCCUCUGCUUUAACUAUGGGAGCAUGCUGCUUCCUGACACCUCCCAUGCACAGAAAAGGGAGCUAGACCCUUGUCCUUUUUUUUUUUUUUUUUUAAAGAGAAGAUACAAAUGGUAAUUCCCAAGGGCAUGAGUAAAUGUUAGUUGAAAGUUAAUUGCAUGUGCUUCAGAAAUAAAUGUGGGAACAUCUGAAAUGUGUAAAUAACAAUAAGAUUGCAAAGUAAGGAGGACCAUUUGGAUUACAAUAAGGAAAUGAUCAUGUUCUCUGCUGACAGUGAGCUGGGGGUGUGUCCCAGAGGAAGUUGGGAGGUCUUGUCUGGAGGCCCGCGCUGCAGUCGACUGGAAAGUUCUUAACACAGGAUGUGAGAAGGGAAUGUAUGGGGGCUGAAUUGGUCUUCAAAUCCAAAAUGUAAUACCAACACAAGUUUUACAUUAAAAUAUUUAAAGAUAGAAA